rnacentral:rRNA from 1 species
UGAAACACGGACCAAGGAGUCUAACAUGUGCGCGAGUCAUGGGGUCUUACGAAACCCAAAGGCGCAAUGAAAGUGAAAUGCUGACUUGGGCAGCAGGUAGGCAGGAUCCCGUCGCUUGCGGCGGGCGCACUGCCGGCCCGUCUCGUCGCGGCAUUGCCCGUGAGGCGGAGCAAGAGCGCACACGUUGGGACCCGAAAGAUGGUGAACUAUGCCUGAGUAGGACGAAGUCAGAGGAAACUCUGAUGGAGGUCCGUAGCGAUUCUGACGUGCAAAUCGAUCGUCAAACUUGGGUAUAGGGGCGAAAGACUAAUCGAACCAUCUAGUAGCUGGUUCCCUCCGAAGUUUCCCUCAGGAUAGCUGGCACUAAUACGCUUGCAGUUUUAUCCGGUAAAGCGAAUGAUUAGAGGCCUUGGGGACUAAAUGACCUCAACCUAUUCUCAAACUUUAAAUGGGUAAGAAGUGCGACUCGCUCAAUUGGAGCCGUACCACGAAUGCAAAGUGCCAAGUGGGCCACUUUUGGUAAGCAGAACUGGCGCUGUGGGAUGAACCAAACGUCCGGUUAAGGCGCCCGAUACUGACGCUCAUGAGAUACCAUAAAAGGUGUUGGUUGAUAUAGACAGCAGGACGGUGGCCAUGGAAGUCGGAAUCCGCUAAGGAGUGUGUAACAACUCACCUGCC